GAGGGAUGAACUGGUAGGAACCAUCAGGCAGGCGCUCGAUGACUCCCAUCCUCUCCAAGCAGUCUGCGUCCAAGAGCUCCAUCUCGCACGCCAAAUGUAAGUCGUGGUCCUCCAGGUCAAGAACCCCCAACUGUAUCGCCAAGUGAGUGAUAUAUGACCCAAGGAUGAGGGGUUUGUUCUUCUUGGCCAAGACGGUCUUGAACUGUGCGGCCAACCAACACCCCAAGUUCACCUUGAUAUUGUUCUUCAUACUCCAGAGGAAAAAGAAUUCAGGGCGAGAGAGUAUGCCAGAGCUGUCCUUACGCCCCGAGUAGCUGUAGGCUAAGAACCGCUGAACAUAGCGGGCACUAGGGUCCUUAAGAAAUGAGCUCCUAGAUCGGGAAGAAUCGUAACGCUGCUGGUCGACGGACAUUUCUUCCCACACGUCAUGGUAGUGGGAGAGGAACGGCUCUAUGUAGUCACAGGCACUCUCGGCAAACUCCCUACUCCCAGCAUACUCUCUAGUGGCAAACCCAAAUGCCCGAUUGAAUUGGGUAAUGGAGAAAUUGAACUCUCGACCCAUGAGCCGGAAAUGAAUGACCUGUGGUGUGUCAACGGUGUAUCUCGUAGGUAACUCGAACUCAAAGGUGGAGUAAAACUCCCGAGUCAGCUCGACAAAGGCGGGGCAUAAGACAUCUAGAUAUGAGCGCCACCCGAUGGCUGUAAACAUUCGCUCGACUUCCUCUCGUAUGCCUAGACCCAUGACGGUUAAUUUUUCCCAAGUCUUACUUGGUGUAAUACGCCGCUCGCAGACCUUAGCAUACCUCUGCUGAUCGGCGGGUCUAGUGAAGGUUAGGUGCCCCCCAAAGUGAGUAGGGGUAUCUACCUGAGCACCC
rnacentral:lncRNA from 1 species